rnacentral:rRNA from 1 species
GGGGUGCUCGAGUGGCGAACGGGUGAGUAACACGUGAGUAACCUGCCCUUGACUUUGGGAUAACUUCAGGAAACUGGGGCUAAUACCGGAUAGGAGCUCCUGCUGCAUGGUGGGGGUUGGAAAGUUUCGGCGGUUGGGGAUGGACUCGCGGCUUAUCAGCUUGUUGGUGGGGUAGUGGCUUACCAAGGCUUUGACGGGUAGCCGGCCUGAGGGGUGACCGGCCACAUUGGGACUGAGAUACGGCCCAG